AUUUAUAUAGUUUAAUUAUUAAAACCUUACAUUUUCAUUGUAAAAAUAAAGAAUUUCUUUUAUAAAUU
rnacentral:tRNA from 1 species